rnacentral:piRNA from 1 species
UGAUUCUAGAGAACCCUGACGAAUUGCAUAAG